rnacentral:rRNA from 1 species
GACGAACUGUGCGAACGUUAUUCGGAAUCACUGGGCUUACAGGGUGCGUAGGCGGCUUGUUAAGUAGGGUGUGAAAUCCCCCGGCCCAACCGGGGAAUGGCGCUCUAAACUAGCAGGCUUGAGUGAGCUAGGGGUGCACGGAACUUCCAGUGGAGCGGUGAAAUGUGUUGAUAUUGGAAGGAACACCGGAGGCGAAAGCGGUGCACUGGGGCUUAACUGGCGCUGAGGCACGAAAGCCAGGGGAGCGAACGGG